ACCGACCUCGCUGACACUGCAAAGUUCUACCAAGCCGCCAUGCUCCUCCGCAGACCCAUCUCCCAUUUCAUGGACCAGCACCCACCUGAUUGCAUCGUCGCCGACACCAUGUAUUCCUGGGCGGAUGACGUGGCCAACAACCUCCGCAUCCCACGACUUGCCUUCAACGGAUACCCCCUCUUCUCCGGCGCCGCCAUGAAGUGCGUCAUAUCACACCCCGAACUCCAUUCCGACACGGGCCCUUUCGUCAUCCCCGAUUUUCCUCACCGCGUCACCAUGCCCUCCAGACCACCCAAGAUGGCCACCGCCUUCAUGGAUCAUCUCCUCAAAAUAGAGCUCAAGAGCCACGGCCUCAUCGUGAACAGCUUCGCCGAGCUGGACGGAGAAGAGUGCAUCCAGCACUACGAGAAAAGCACGGGUCACAAGGCUUGGCAUCUUGGGCCAGCUUGUCUGGUUGGAAAAAGGGAUCAAGAGAGGGGCGAGAAGAGCGUGGUGAGCCAGAACGAGUGUCUCACUUGGCUCGACCCCAAGCCAACUAACUCGGUUGUCUACGUAUCCUUCGGAAGCGUCUGUCAUUUUCCAGAUAAACAGCUUUACGAGAUUGCAUGUGCGUUGGAACAGAGUGGGAAGUCAUUCAUAUGGAUUGUUCCAGAGAAGAAAGGGAAGGAAUACGAGAAUGAGAGCGAGGAGGAGAAGGAAAAAUGGCUUCCAAAAGGGUUUGAGGAGAGAAACAGGGAGAAGGGGAUGAUUGUUAAAGGGUGGGCCCCGCAGCUCCUCAUCCUGGCCCACCCGGCUGUGGGUGGCUUCCUCUCGCAUUGCGGCUGGAACUCCUCCUUGGAGGCCGUCACCGCCGGGGUUCCCAUGAUCACGUGGCCGGUCAUGGCGGAUCAGUUUUACAACGAGAAACUCAUAACUGAGGUGCGGGGGAUUGGGGUGGAGGUGGGUGCCACCGAGUGGAGACUCGUUGGUUAUGGGGAGAGGGAGAAGCUGGUCACCAGAGAUACCAUUGAGACUGCCAUCAAAAGGUUGAUGGGCGGUGGCGAUGAAGCUCAAAACAUCAGACGCCGCUCGGAAGAGCUUGCGGAAAAGGCUAAACAAUCCCUUCAGGAAGGAGGUUCAUCCCACAACAGGUUAACGACCCUCAUUGCUGAUCUCAUGCGCUUGAGGGACUCUAAGUCGGCCACCUGAUUUCUUGCGCCAUGCCCCUACAAUUAUAACUCUUCCCUAGUUAUAAGAAUAUCUAUUAUGAAUUAGUAAAUAAACAGAUUUACUUACUAACUUAGUAAGUUCAUUUUAGUGCGUUAAGUUGUUGUAAACUUUUUGUUGAGUUGAGAAUAAAGGUGAGUGAAUUUGAUUUGUUCCUAUGAACCUUUGAAACAUGUCCCUUAUUUUAUCUAUUUAUUUUCUGUAGUUCCCCAAAAUCGACUUUUGCUAAUAAUACACUCUCAUCACAUGUUUUGAGAGGCUACAUUCAAAUAAGCCAAACCCAGUGGCAGUUCAAUGUUAUAUUUUCUCAGUACACUACGCCUUCUUUUGUUCUCUAAAAGUUAGGCAAUCACACGUCUUAUUAAUGAAAGACCCUAACAUGCAUAUGUGAGUGUCAAACCUGAGAGUUACCAUUAUAGGAUACUGGGUUCCUGCAUAAUACAGAAGUAGCAGAAAUGAAGGAUCACACAAAUCAGAGCCUAUGCUCAAGAUUCUCUACCCAGACUACGUAAAAAACUCCUCAUAAUUUAUCUCUACAUCCACUCCUUUAUUCUAUCAUUUCCUUUAACUAACUUACUGCUAGCUUACCCUUCACUCACCCCUAAUCUCAUUGCCUACUUUCUUUUUGCCUAGUGUAGACUCUCCUCUCCAUAUUUUGGGCCUUUCAUACCUUGGCCCAUCAGUAGGCUCAUCCUCAUGGUCUCUUUAACAUAUUUCUUGUUAACGGAUAUAUAUUUGUUUUGUAGACACGCGUUUCAUACCAAAUAUGGAGCCUUUGAAAGUUCGGAAGGUCUUGGAUAUGAAAAGGCAGUUUCUUACAAAUUGUAAACCAUUAGAUAUUUCUUGCUCUUGUUAUGUAGCCUCUCAUUUUUUAUUUGUGAUUCUCCUCUAAUGUAAAACCAAGGAUCCAAAAUCAUGCAAAAUUUUGAAACUUUUAUAUUUAUUAAUAAUUAAUAGUUCGGGUUUUGGGUGGAUGGAGUAGCUGUUAGCAGUAAGUCAGUGGAGGCAUAUUACAAGGAGGUAUUCUAGGCUUAGUAAAUCAGCUUUGUUUUGGCUUUCUUGGCAUGAAGCUCAAUUUAUACUUCGGCCACAAAUUGUCCAACAUUGAUGAUCUUCUCUGCGUUUUUUAUCACAUCAUAUUGUUAUCAACAUUUUAUGCGGUUCAUUUGGUUAGUAAUAUUCCCUUGUGUAUGAUCAGAACCAUAUUCAUUACUCUUCAAAUGUAUGCACACAGUAACCGAUUCCAUUUUCCCAACUUUUAUUCAACCUACGAUCUUUCUCUCUUCAUAUUUUAACUUUUCACUUGUAGCAUAAUCCCCUUUCCUUAACUCCUUCCCGUAUAUAACACCAAAUUGAUACUUCAACAUUUUAGCCUUCCAAUAUAAACUAAUUUUGCUAUUUCAUAAAACUUCAUAGUUGAAAGUAACUUAUAAGCUGAAUAUAAAAUUGUAAUUUUCCUACAAUAGGCCAUGGAUUAAUUACAAAAUUAAGAGUAGCAAUAUUGAGGGCGCUUUCCCAUCUAAUACAUAUAUAUGAUGUGUCCGAUAUGGAAAACCUUCAAUUCAUCUGUAUGAAUUAAGGCACUUUCCCUUGUUUGAACAACAACUUCAAUUCAUUGCUCUUUUCAGUUAUACCAGAGGCACAGACGUUAAAGCAUGCAUUAAGGGAGAGAGAUGCAAGUUUGGUGUUGUGCUCUACAUUGAACACAACAUUGUCCCAAAUGAACUACAAUAAUUAUUCACAUUAAACGGAAAAUGCCAGCUGCCUGUAACAUUCGCAAGAAUGUUUCCUCAACAAUGCAGGUCAAUACAGCCGCAGUUAUUAUAUCAGAAACUACCAAGAUGUUAAUUUACAUUCCUAUAACCACCAAGGUCGUUUUCUCUUUUGUCACUAUCAUGGUCUGUGGCAAGACGACAUGAUGAGCUGUAGAUGACUUCCUAUGUCUAAACAGUUCCUUCGUAAACAUCUUUUUGCUGUCCACUUUGACCUACACAAACCAAAUUAAAACAUCAAUAUAAAAAAAAAAAGUAUAUGCUUACCAAUAUUACUCUAAAUUAUAAGUUAAUUGUAGAAACCGUCUCCAUUGAUUUCAAAAACAAAGAUUACAUGGCCAACUUACAUGUUUUGUCUUGUCCUCCUGUUUUCAAACCUUUUGCUCAUUCAAGUUUUGACUAGAACACAAAACAGUCCUACUGCUUUCAGUUUUGAAUUCCUAUCAAGCAGUUUCUUGAGGAAUGCUGGUUUACUUUGCUUUACUGUUUUUCACCUAAUUACAUAAUGGAAGAAGCUGUUCUUAUUUCUUGCUCUCUCUCUCUUGCUCCUUUUCUGUAAGACUGUAACAUCAAUAAAUGUCUUUUUAAUUUAACAAAAUAACUUCAGUGUUUAUAUAUUUCUAGAAACACUUCAAGAAUAAUUUAAUUUUACUAUAUAAACAAAGUUAAUUGCCUGAAAAAAUGGUAAAAAACAACUUUAUUCAAAUCUACAACAAAUGAACCUGCAAAAAUAAAAAUAUGGCUAACUAAUUACUGAUUCCUAGUAAUUAAAGUUUAUCAUCCAUAAGGGAGGAUUCUUUCUUGGCAGUUUAGUUCAAUACAACAGCCGCAGAUAAAUAUCAGAAAUUACUAAGAUGAUAUUAAUUCACAUUCCUUUGCCCACAUAAGUCGCUUUCCAUUAGUUACUAUCAUGGUCUGCGCGCCAAGACAACAAAUGAGUUGUACAAGACUUCCUAUGUGUACAGGGCUCCUUCGUAAACAUCUUUCUAUUGGCCACUUUGACGUAGUCAAACCAUUUUUGUGUGUAAAACAAGUAUAGGAUAAAUAACCAAAUUAUCUGUGGAAAGUGUUAAGUGAUAAAUUGGUCUUUAAAAAAAUUUAAAAAUAUAAAUUUAUUUCUUGAAUUUAUAAAAAGUUUGAUAAAUUAAUGUUGUGAUUAAUUUUUACAAAUUCACAAAAUUUGAAAAUUUUCAUCAAUUUGUGGGCAUCACAUCUUGAAGGGGUUGGGUAUUCGGCCAGAAGUAUAUGCUUAGCAAUAUUACUCUAAAAUUAUGAGUCAAUUGUAGAAGCCGUCUCCAUUGAUUCCAAAACAAAGACAACAUUGGCCGACUUUCAUGUUUUGUCUUGUCCUCUUGUUUUCAAAGCAAAUGGAGCGAAGGUUGAUCAACGACAAGAAACAUUGGGUUAUUCAAACUUGUUUACAAAGUUUCAACCAUAAAGCAGAAAGAUUAAAGGCAAAAGAGUGUUCUGUUCUGUUUCAUCAGAAUUCAGAAUGGACGUGAAAGAACGACCACUGAAACUUUACUUCAUUCCAUACCUUGCCGCGGGUCACAUGAUCCCUCUAUGCGACAUAGCCCAGUUCUUCGCCUCACGUGGCCACCAUGUGACCAUCAUCACCACCCCUUCCAACGCCGAAAUCCUUCACCAGUCCAAAAACUUCCGCGUCCACACCUUCGACUUCCCUUCCGAAGAAGUAGGCCUCCCUGACGGCGUCGAAAACUUAUCCGCCGUCACCGACCUCGAAAAAUCCUACAGAAUCUACAUCGCCGCCACCACACUGCUCCGCGAACCCAUCGAGAGUUUCGUGGAGCGGGACCCACCGGACUGCAUAGUUGCCGAUUUCCUAUACUGCUGGGUGGAAGACUUGGCAAAAAAGCUCCGCAUACCGUGGCUUGUUUUCAACGGAUUCUCCCUCUUCUCCAUUUGCGCCAUGGAGUCCGUCAAAAAGCACCGCAUCGGCGAUGGUCCCUUCGUCAUUCCAGAUUUCCCCGACCACGUCACCAUCAAAUCAACCCCACCCAAGGACAUGCGAGAAUUCUUGGAACCCCUUCUCACGGCAGCGCUCAAGAGCAACGGCUUCAUCAUCAACAACUUCGCCGAGCUAGACGGUGAGGAGUACCUCCGCCACUACGAGAAAACCACGGGCCACAAGGCCUGGCACCUUGGCCCAGCGUCCCUCGUUCGGAGAACCGAGAUGGAGAAAGCAGAGAGGGGGCAAAAGAGCGUGGUGAGUACGCACGAGUGCCUGAGUUGGCUCGACUCGAAGCGAGUCAACUCGGUGGUGUACGUAAGUUUUGGGAGCCUCUGCUAUUUCCCGGAUAAGCAGCUUUACGAGAUAGCAUGCGGGAUGGAAGCGUCGGGUUAUGAAUUCAUAUGGGUGGUUCCGGAGAAGAAAGGGAAGGAAGAAGAGAGCGAGGAAGAGAAGGAGAAGUGGCUGCCAAAGGGGUUUGAAGAGAGGAAGAAGGGGAUGAUUAUCAAGGGGUGGGCCCCACAGGUGGUGAUUCUGGAGCACCCUGCGGUUGGUGCGUUUUUGACGCAUUGUGGGUGGAACUCCACGGUGGAGGCGGUGAGUGCUGGGGUUCCCAUGAUUACGUGGCCGGUGCACAGCGAUCAGUUCUACAACGAAAAGUUAAUAACUCAGGUGCGGGGUAUUGGGGUGGAGGUGGGUGCAGAGGAGUGGAACCUCAGUGCUUACUUCCAGACCCAGAAGCUGCUGCCCAGAGAUCGCAUAGAGAUGGCUGUGAGGACCCUCAUGGACGUUUCUGAUCAAGCCCUGCAAAUCAGACGCCAAGCGCAAAACUUUAGCAGAAUCGCAAGACAAGCUGUUCAAGUGGCAGGCUCAUCAUACAAUAAUUUAACAGCCUUGAUUCAUUAUGUAAAACGAUUCAGAGACUCUGCUGAGGGAUAAAAAAUAUCAAUUUUAAUGAAAUAAAAAUCAUAUAAUUCAACCAUGGUUUGAUUUUGAUUAUUAUUAUAAGAAAAUAUGAGAAUAGGCAAGGCUAAUAAAUGAUGGGGUCUAUAAAUGGCCUAUGCUUGAUCGAGUUGAAAUGAUAAAUACUGAGAUGGAGCCACUCAAACUCUACUUCAUUCAUUACCCAACAGCAGGUCACAUGAUCCCUCUCUGCGACAUAGCCACGCUCUUCGCCUCUCGCGGCCACCACGCCACUAUCAUCACCACCCCCGUCAACGCCCAAAUCAUUCGCAAAUCCAUCCCCUCCCUCCGCCUCCACACCGUUCCCUUCCCCUCCCAAGAACUGGGCCUCCCCGACGGCAUCGAAAGCCUCUCCUCCCUCAUUGACGACAUCCGCCACUUCCCCAAGGUCUACCAUGCCAUCUCCAUGCUCCAACCCCCCAUCGAGCAAUUCGUGGAGCAGCACCCACCUGAUUGCAUCGUCGCCGACUUCCUCUUCCCCUGGGUCCAUGACUUGGCCAACAAGCUUAACAUUCCCAGCGUUGCCUUCAACGGCUUCUCCCUCUUCGCAAUCUGCGCCAUACGCGCCGUCAACCUUGAAUCUUCCGAUUCUUUUCACAUUCCCAGUAUCCCUCACCCCAUCUCCCUCAACGCAACACCGCCCAAGGAGUUAACCCAAUACCUGAAACUGAUGCUGGAGUCACAGCUCAAGAGCCACGCUAUCAUCAUCAACAACUUCGCCGAGCUUGACGGACAAGACUACAUCCGCCACUACGAGAAAACCACUGGCCACAAGACUUGGCAUCUUGGCCCGGCCUCUCUUAUAAGCUGCAGGACCGCUCAAGAGAAAGCAGAGAGGGGCAUGAAGAGCGCGGUGAGUAUGCAGGACUGUGUGAGUUGGCUUGACUCGAAGCGAGUCAACUCGGUGGUGUACGUAAGUUUUGGGAGCCUCUGCUAUUUCCCGGAUAAGCAGCUUUACGAGAUAGCAUGCGGGAUGGAAGCGUCGGGUUAUGAAUUCAUAUGGGUGGUUCCGGAGAAGAAAGGGAAGGAAGAAGAGAGCGAGGAAGAGAAGGAGAAGUGGCUGCCAAAGGGGUUUGAAGAGAGGAAGAAGGGGAUGAUUAUCAAGGGGUGGGCCCCACAGGUGGUGAUUCUGGAGCACCCUGCGGUUGGUGCGUUUUUGACGCAUUGUGGGUGGAACUCCACGGUGGAGGCGGUGAGUGCUGGGGUUCCCAUGAUUACGUGGCCGGUGCACAGCGAUCAGUUCUACAACGAAAAGUUAAUAACUCAGGUGCGGGGUAUUGGGGUGGAGGUGGGUGCAGAGGAGUGGAACCUCAGUGCUUACUUCCAGACCCAGAAGCUGCUGCCCAGAGAUCGCAUAGAGAUGGCUGUGAGGACCCUCAUGGACGUUUCUGAUCAAGCCCUGCAAAUCAGACGCCAAGCGCAAAACUUUAGCAGAAUCGCAAGACAAGCUGUUCAAGUGGCAGGCUCAUCAUACAAUAAUUUAACAGCCUUGAUUCAUUAUGUAAAACGAUUCAGAGACUCUGCUGAGGGAUAAAAAAUAUCAAUUUUAAUGAAAUAAAAAUCAUAUAAUUCAACCAUGGUUUGAUUUUGAUUAUUAUUAUAAGAAAAUAUGAGAAUAGGCAAGGCUAAUAAAUGAUGGGGUCUAUAAAUGGCCUAUGCUUGAUCGAGUUGAAAUGAUAAAUACUGAGAUGGAGCCACUCAAACUCUACUUCAUUCAUUACCCAACAGCAGGUCACAUGAUCCCUCUCUGCGACAUAGCCACGCUCUUCGCCUCUCGCGGCCACCACGCCACUAUCAUCACCACCCCCGUCAACGCCCAAAUCAUUCGCAAAUCCAUCCCCUCCCUCCGCCUCCACACCGUUCCCUUCCCCUCCCAAGAACUGGGCCUCCCCGACGGCAUCGAAAGCCUCUCCUCCCUCAUUGACGACAUCCGCCACUUCCCCAAGGUCUACCAUGCCAUCUCCAUGCUCCAACCCCCCAUCGAGCAAUUCGUGGAGCAGCACCCACCUGAUUGCAUCGUCGCCGACUUCCUCUUCCCCUGGGUCCAUGACUUGGCCAACAAGCUUAACAUUCCCAGCGUUGCCUUCAACGGCUUCUCCCUCUUCGCAAUCUGCGCCAUACGCGCCGUCAACCUUGAAUCUUCCGAUUCUUUUCACAUUCCCAGUAUCCCUCACCCCAUCUCCCUCAACGCAACACCGCCCAAGGAGUUAACCCAAUACCUGAAACUGAUGCUGGAGUCACAGCUCAAGAGCCACGCUAUCAUCAUCAACAACUUCGCCGAGCUUGACGGACAAGACUACAUCCGC
rnacentral:lncRNA from 1 species